GACGAACGCUGGCGGCGUGCUUAACACAUGCAAUUCGAACGGAAAGGCCCUGCUUUUGUGGGGUGCUCGAGUGGCGAACGGGUGAGUAACACGUGAGUAACCUGCCCUUGACUUUGGGAUAACUUCAGGAAACUGGGGCUAAUACCGGAUAGGAGCUCCUGCUGCAUGGUGGGGGUUGGAAAGUUUCGGCGGUUGGGGAUGGACUCGCGGCUUAUCAGCUUGUUGGUGGGGUAGUGGCUUACCAAGGCUUUGACGGGUAGCCGGCCUGAGAGGGUGACCGGCCACAUUGGGACUGAGAUACGGCCCAGACUCCUACGGGAGGCAGCAGUGGGGAAUAUUGCACAAUGGGCGGAAGCCUGAUGCAGCAACGCCGCGUGCGGGAUGACGGCCUUCGGGUUGUAAACCGCUUUCGCCUGUGACGAAGCGUGAGUGACGGUAAUGGGUAAAGAAGCACCGGCUAACUACGUGCCAGCAGCCGCGGUGAUACGUAGGGUGCGAGCGUUGUCCGGAUUUAUUGGGCGUAAAGGGCUCGUAGGUGGUUGAUCGCGUCGGAAGUGUAAUCUUGGGGCUUAACCCUGAGCGUGCUUUCGAUACGGGUUGACUUGAGGAAGGUAGGGGAGAAUGGAAUUCCAGGUGGAGCGGUGGAAUGCGCAGAUAUCAGGAGGAACACCAGUGGCGAAGGCGGUUCUCUGGGCCUUUCCUGACGCUGAGGAGCGAAAGCGUGGGGAGCGAACAGGCUUAGAUACCCUGGUAGUCCACGCUGUAAACGGUGGGUACUAGGUGUGGGGUCCAUUCCACGGGUUCCGUGCCGUAGCUAACGCUUUAAGUACCCCGCCUGGGGAGUACGGCCGCAAGGCUAAAACUCAAAGGAAUUGACGGGGCCCCGCACAAGCGGCGGAGCAUGCGGAUUAAUUCGAUGCAACGCGUAGAACCUUACCUGGGUUUGACAUGGAUCGGGAGUGCUCAGAGAUGGGUGUGCCUCUUUUGGGGUCGGUUCACAGGUGGUGCAUGGCUGUCGUCAGCUCGUGUCGUGAGAUGUUGGGUUAAGUCCCGCAACGAGCGCAACCCUUGUUCACUGUUGCCAGCACGUUAUGGUGGGGACUCAGUGGAGACCGCCGGGGUCAACUCGGAGGAAGGUGGGGAUGACGUCAAGUCAUCAUGCCCCUUAUGUCCAGGGCUUCACGCAUGCUACAAUGGCUGGUACAGAGAGUGGCGAGCCUGUGAGGGUGAGCGAAUCUCGGAAAGCCGGUCUCAGUUCGGAUUGGGGUCUGCAACUCGACCUCAUGAAGUCGGAGUCGCUAGUAAUCGCAGAUCAGCAACGCUGCGGUGAAUACGUUCCCGGG
rnacentral:rRNA from 1 species